UAGACUCAGACCAAUGCUUUUUAGUGUUCAUGGUGUGAGGAGUGCACAAGUAUCACUGAUAAAUUGACGAACUUUGAAUUUUUUUAAGUUGGUCGUUAGUGGGAAGAACAAGCAGCUAGAAUGCGACUUUCUGAUAAGCUAUCACUUUCCCUCUUUAUCAGACUUAUGUUCCGUAUGGUGGGAUGUCUAAUUUCAAGAAUGCCACUGCCUCCUGAGAUGACACAAGAACCAGUUUACGUGAAUGCUAAACAGUACCUGGCUGAUUCUGAGGCGAAGGGAAGGCAGGCAGGCACGUGCCAAGGCAGAACUAGAGUUAAUCAAAUCCAGAAAGCCUUACCUCCAUGAAUCUCGGGAGGCCUAGGAGGACGGUUUGCAAAGAAAACGAACACCGAAGCUUCUCAGCAAAUAGCUGGAGAAAAGAGAAAUGCUUGUCCAGCUCAGUCCCCAACAUCAUCCUGAUCAACCUGAAGCUUGGACACAAUCCGACGAGAUGCAGAGCUCAGCUUAUAAGAGAAGGGAAGAAGGAGACUGCUCUGCUCAGGACAGCAAUGGAAAAGCAUUUCUUCAAACCACCCUUCUCAAGCUCGUCUAGCAAUCAAGUGACAUAUCUGCAGGCAACUCAUUAUUGGCUCUCUCUUUGUUGGCUUCUCUCUGUUCUGUACAAAUACUUCUGUGCUUUUCUUUGACAACUAUCUUUAGUAAACAUUUCUUAGCAAGUGAUAAGAGGUUUGCCUCCAAAACUAUGUGAUUAAAUAACUAAAUUCCAGAGUGUGCAAAAUGGAAAAAAGAGUAAUGGAAUACCACAAAAUCUUUCAAGA